UUGACGGGACCCGCACAAGCGGUGGAUGAUGUGGAUUAAUUCGAUGCAACGCGAGGAACCUUACCUGGGCUUAAAUGGGAGUGACAGCUGUCGAAAGAUGGUUUUCUUCGGACACUCUUCAAGGUGCUGCAUGGUUGUCGUCAGCUCGUGCCGUGAGGUGUCGGGUUAAGUCCCAUAACGAGCGCAACCCUUACCGUUAGUUACCAUCAGGUUAAGCUGGGGACUCUAGCGGGACUGCCACCGUAAGGUGAGAGGAAGGUGGGGAUGACGUCAAAUCAGCACGGCCCUUAUGUCCAGGGCUACACACGUGUUACAAUGGCCAGUACAAAGGGCAGCUACCGGGUGACCGGAUGCUAAUCUCUAAAGCUGGUCUCAGUUCGGAUCGAAGUCUGCAACCCGACUUCGUGAAGCUGGAUUCGCUAGUAAUCGCGCAUCCAGCCAUGGCGGCGGUGAAUACGUCCGGGCCUU
rnacentral:rRNA from 1 species